UUUCAUUCAGAAUCUUUUUACCAAAUCUUGGAAUCAUAUAAUAUUUCUUUCAUGUUAAUUACAUCAGGAUAAUUUUACUUAAUUUAUCACAUUUGAACAUUCUGUUUGAAUAAAAAGAUUUUUAACAUUGUGGAAUAAUACUCUAAAAUGAAAAACGUCUGCAAAUAUAAAUUGCGUUCAAAUGGUACACCAAGGCGCUUGAAACGAAGUGUAGGUGCUAAGGCGAAUAACAAGAAAAUCCUGAAAAAACAAGAAAAACGGCAGAAGAGUCGAAUUUCAAAAACCAAAAACACUUCAUAUUCGCAGUCAGAAGGAGAAAUGAUAUGCAUCAUCUGCUUAGAUACUGAAGAAAACGUAGAGGAACCUCGACGUCUGUUCUGCGGUCACUCUUUUCAUUUUAAAUGCAUCACCCAUUGGUUGAAAAUUAGGUACUUUUGUCCUAUUUGUCGCUCGCCACCAGAUUAUAUUUCUAGCGUUAUCUUAGCACGUUUCCGUCGGUAUUCCGUAAAUUUAUCGCAGUGGUUUCGGCAGAGUCUUGACAUUCAAUAAUCAUUAUAAACUUCUCGAAAUAGAAUCUUUUUGAUUGAUUUGUCACUAUUUUCAUGUUAAUGCAUUUUAUUUUAGAGCGUUAACUUCUUUACUUAUAAGUUGCAUUUAUUCUUGUUUUCAGUUAUUUAUGAAUAAAGUUAAUUAAAUUAGAA